GGCGGGGUAAAUGCCCACCAAGGCGAUGAUCCGUAGCUGGUCUGAGAGGAUGAUCAGCCACACUGGAACUGAGACACGGUCCAGACUCCUACGGGAGGCAGCAGUGGGGAAUAUUGGACAAUGGGCGAAAGCCUGAUCCAGCAAUACCGCGUGAGUGAUGAAGGUCUUCGGAUUGUAAAGCUCUUUUAGUGGGGAAGAUAAUGACGGUACCCACAGAAAAAGCACCGGCAAACUUCGUGCCAGCAGCCGCGGUAAUACGAAGGGUGCUAGCGUUGUUCGGAAUCACUGGGCGUAAAGCGUGCGUAGGCGGCUUUGUAAGUCGAUUGUGAAAUCCCCAGGCUUAACUUGGGAACUGCAAUCGAAACUGCUUAGCUUGAAUAUGGUCGAGGGUAGUAGAAUUCCUAGUGUAGGGGUGAAAUCCGUAGAUAUUAGGAGGAAUACCGGUGGCGAAAGCGACUACCUAGGCCAUUAUUGACGCUGAGGCACGAAAGCGUGGGGAGCAAACAGGAUUAGAUACCCUGGUAGUCCACGCAGUAAACGAUGAGUGCUAGUUGUUGGGGUCUUAGACUUCAGUGGCGAAGCUAACGCGUUAAGCACUCCGCCUGGGGAGUACGGUCGCAAGACUAAAACUCAAAGGAAUUGACGGGGACCCGCACAAGCAGUGGAGCAUGUGGUUUAAUUCGAUGCUACGCGAAAAACCUUACCAACCCUUGAAUCUCAAUAGCAGGCUAAGAAAUUAGCUCUCGGUUCGGCCGGAUUGAAGACAGGUGCUGCAUGGCUGUCGUCAGCUCGUGUCGUGAGAUGUUAGGUUAAGUCCUUAAACGAGCGCAACCCUCAUCCUUAUUUGCCAUCAGGUUAUGCUGGGAACUAUAAGGAAACUGCCAGCGACAAGCUGGAGGAAGGUGAGGAUGAUGUCAAGUCAUCAUGGCCCUUAUGGGUUGGGCUACACACAUGCUACAAUGGUGGUUACAGCAGGAAGCAAUAGAGUAAUCUGGAGCAAAUCCUCAAAAGCCAUCUCAGUUCAGAUUGAGGGCUGCAACUCGCCCUCAUGAAGUUGGAAUUGCUAGUAAUCGCGGAUCAGCAUGCCGCGGUGAAUACGUUCUCGGGUCUUGUACACACUGCCCGUCAAGCCAUGGAAGCUGUUUCUACCUGAAUAGAGUGAGCUAACCGCAAGGAGGCAGCUCUACACGGUAGGAGGAGUGACUGGGGUUAAGUCGGAACAAGGUAGCAGUAGGGGGUUAUCGUGACU
rnacentral:rRNA from 1 species